rnacentral:rRNA from 1 species
AACGAACGCUGGCGGCAUGCCUAACACAUGCGAGUCGAACGAGACCUUCGGGUCUAGUGGCGCACGGGUGCGUAACGCGUGGGAACCUGCCCUUAGGUUCGGAAUAACUCCCCGAAAGGGGUGCUAAUACCGGAUAAUGUCUUCGGACCAAAGAUUUAUCGCCUUUGGAUGGGCCCGCGUUGGAUUAGCUAGUUGGUAGGGUAAAAGCCUACCAAGGCGGCGAUCCAUAGCUGGUCUGAGAGGAUGAUCAGCCACACUGGGACUGAGACACGGCCCAGACUCCUACGGGAGGCAGCAGUGGGGAAUAUUGGACAAUGGGCGAAAGCCUGAUCCAGCAAUGCCGCGUGAGUGAUGAAGGCCUUAGGGUUGUAAAGCUCUUUUACCCGGGAUGAUAAUGACAGUACCGGGAGAAUAAGCUCCGGCUAACUCCGUG